rnacentral:tRNA from 1 species
AAGCCAUUGGCAAUGCCACGAGCAGGCAAAAUGGUGCGUACGACGACAAUCCGACCACCUGCGGGAAUUGUCACAGAAUCUGGGACU